rnacentral:rRNA from 1 species
UACGGGGGGAGCAAGCGUUGUUCGGAUUUACUGGGCGUAAAGGGCGCGUAGGCGGCGUGACAAGUCACUUGUGAAAUCUCCGGGCUUAACUCGGAACGGUCAACUGAUACUGUGCGACUAGAGUGCAGAAGGGGCAACUGGAAUUCUCGGUGUAGCGGUGAAAUGCGUAGAUAUCGAGAGGAACACCUGCGGCGAAGGCGGGUUGCUGGGCUGACACUGACGCUGAGGCGCGAAAGCCAGGGGAGCGAACGGG